GAAAAAUACAAAUGCAUGUAGCAUAUAUUCAGCCUCCAUUCCAGGAAGAGUGAGAUUCAACCUCUUUCAUUUGCAUGAACACCUCUCUCACCGACUCACUGCAGUAGGUAAGUAUGCAACAGCAUCGAGGUAAAAGAGAGCAGUGUGAGUUUGAUACAAAAGGCUAUAAUAAUUGGCUUGAAGCCGGUUCACAAGGUUGGCAUUAUGGUGCCGGGGACAAUUAUGCAUCCACGAAUGUCCUAUCAAGAAGCCCACUGAGUAUGACACCUCCAAAUCAACUGCACAGCCAGUUCAGAGGACAAAUUUCUGAAUUGCCGAAUUCAGUGUGCAGCCAGGAGCAGGGAAAGGCUGCACCACCGGCACUGCCUUCUACGAUAGGUGAAUACAUUGUACAUGGAAAUCAAAGAGAUCACGGUGG